CUACAGAUACACCUUCACAAGACAUGGGCCUUGAAGCUGCAUGUACAGACAGACCAGAUGACCGUUGCAUUUCAACUGUCACCUCUGGAGAAGAGUCACAAGAGGACAUGUCAGCUUAUUGCUUGGUGAAAUUUGGGAAGUGGAAACUGACUUAUGGGAGCGAGACAAUGCAUGAAUGAAGACUAUUU